AUUCAAUAAGCGGAGGAAAAGAAACCAACAGGGAUUGCCUUAGUAACGGCGAGUGAAGCGGCAACAGCUCAAAUUUGAAAUCUGGCCCUUGGGUCCGAAUUGUAAUUUGUAGAGGAUGAUUUUGGUGCGGUAUCUUCCGAGUUCCUUGGAACAGGACGCCUUAGAGGGUGAGAGCCCCGUACGGUUGAAUGCCUAGCCUCUGUAAAUCUCCUUCGACGAGUCGAGUAGUUUGGGAAUGCUGCUCUAAAUGGGAGGUAAAUUUCUUCUAAAGCUAAAUAUUGGCCAGAGACCGAUAGCGCACAAGUAGAGUGAUCGAAAGAUGAAAAGCACUUUGAAAAGAGGGUUAAAUAGCACGUGAAAUUGUUGAAAGGGAAGGAUUUGUGACCAGACUUUUUCUGGGCGGAUCAUCCGGGGUUCUCUCCGGUGCACUUCGCCCAGUAAAGGCCAGCAUCGGUUUUCGGCGUGGGAUAAAAGCAGUAGGAAUGUGGCUCUCUACGGGGAGUGUUAUAGCCUAUUGUAUAAUACCGCGCUGGGGACCGAGGUUCGCGCUUCUGCAAGGAUGCUGGCGUAAUGGUUAUCAAUCACCCGUCUUGAAACACGGACCAAGGAGUCGAACAUUUGUGCAAGUGUUUGGGUGUUAAACCCUCACGCGUAAUGAAAGUGAACGGAGGUGAGAGCCCUUACGGGUGCAUCAUCGACCGAUCCUGAAGUUUUCGGAUGGAUUUGAGUAAGAGCAUAACUGUUCGGACCCGAAAGAUGGUGAACUAUGCGUGGAUAGGGUGAAGCCAGAGGAAACUCUGGUGGAGGCUCGCAGCGGUUCUGACGUGCAAAUCGAUCGUCAAAUCUGCGCAUGGGGGCGAAAGACUAAUCGAACCAUCUAGUAGCUGGUUACCGC
rnacentral:rRNA from 1 species